UGUCUCGUUGUUGUUGGAGUA
rnacentral:siRNA from 1 species